rnacentral:lncRNA from 1 species
CUGUUUUUUCAUAUACCCAACCAUUUUCACAGCAAAUAGAUGAUACAUAUAUAUUUUUCACAUGGCAAGUUCACAGCAAACAUAUGAGAUAUCCAACACAUAUAAUUUCAUCAUACAUGCAUAGUUCCAUCAACCAUACAUAGCAAGUUUGACAUACAUGCAUCCAACCAUACAUAUUACAAUAGUGUCAUCCUACCAUACAUGCAUAGUUCAUAGAUACAAAGGAAACAUAGUUCAUCCAAACAAGCACUCCAUCUAUGCAAGCUUCCAUGAAGUGAAUGAAUUCUGCAAAAUGGGAAAUAAGAAAGUUAGAAGAAGAAGAUUAGAAGAAGAAGAAGAUUAGAAGAAGAAGAAGAAGAAGAAGAAGAAGAAGAAAAUGAAGAAGCAGAAGAAUAUAUGACAUUUAUGAGCUAAUUUAGGUGAAAUUGAUCAUUUGUGAGCUAACUUAGGUGAAAUGGAUCGUUUAUGAGCUAACCUAGGUGCAAUGGAUCGCUUAUGAGCAAACUUAGGUAAAAUGCAUCAUUUUAGAGGUAACCUAGGUAAGAUGGAUCAUUUUGGAGCUAACCUAGGUAAAAUGGGUCAUUUUAGAGCUAACUUGGGUAGAAUGGAUCAUUUAUGAGCUAAGUAAGGUUAAAUGGGUCAUUUUAGAGCUAACGUAGGUAAAAUGGAUCGUUUAUGAGCUAAGUAAGGUAAAAUGGAUCAUUUUAGAACUAACUUAGGUAAAAUGGAUCGUUUAUGAGCUAACUAAGCUAAUUAUGCCAUUUUUGACAUAAGUCAGCUAAGUACAUGUCAUUAUUGAGCAAACCUAGUUAACUAAGCAUAUUAGAGCUAACUUUGGUCAUUUUGGAGGAAAUAAAGCUAAGUACAGAUCGUUUUAGAGCUAACUUAGGUAAAAUGGAUGGUUUUGGAGGUCAGUAAGCUUAUUAAGUCAUUUUGGAGGUGAAGAAGCUAAGUCUAGGUCAUUAUGGUAAGCAUUGGAGGAAAUAAAGCUAAGUCUAGGUCUUUAUGCAUGUGUUAAGCAAAACACUAGAUAAACUUACCAAGAUGUAGGAGGUGUAGGAGCGGGGUGGCUCGUGUCGGUAGCUGGAGAAGGAUCGUGCGAUGCUUGUCUGGAGUUACGCUGCACCAAAGAUCAUAUCCAAUGUCUUGUUAGCAUGAUGACACUCAAAUGUUAAGACUAGCAAGUAAUGUCCAUUCAAUAAAACUCACCGUGGUCCCAGGAGCAAUCACUGGCAUCGGCGGAGCGGUCUGACCUGUCUUCUCGCACACAGACUGCACAUUUGGUUUUGACGACUCAGUCAUACUAGUUAGUAAUGAGAAAAACACUACAUGAGUGUUUUGGCUAAUCUGCAGAAGAAACUUACCACAAGGAACUCGUACAUGGCCCUUGCAUGCAUGUCAUUCCGUGCCCUCUCCUCCUCCAUCAUCUUUGUCGUCCUCUCCUCCAACUCCCGCUGCCUCUCCGCCGCCUCCGCCAGAAGUUUCUCCGUUCUAUCUCUCUCACUCUGUAUAGCAGCCUGCAACACCACUCACAUGACCAUUUGUAAUCAUUGCUGGAAGCGCACAGAAUGUAAUGGAGAAAGAUAACUGAGUACGUAUCACUAACCUUGAUGGCGAGUUGCACUGGCCGUUCACAAGGCCUUAUCUCAGGAGCGGAGCUCGACUGGCGCUCCUUGAUCUCCGGGAGAGUGCUAGGACAACGGAUAAGUCCAUCUCCAAUGGCUAUGGAGCCAUGGGACCUCCCGCCACCAGAUAUCAUCAACAGCUCUGGAUCAAUGGGACCCUGGCUCGGGUUAAAGUCCUCCCCUUUCCUCGCCUUCCCCUCAUCUCUAUAUCUCACGAGCUUGUUCUGGGAGGAGAUGUUGGUGAAGUUGUUUGCAUCAUCGAGGUCAGACUGAGAGAAAGCCUUGACUUUCUUGAAAGAGGCAGUGUGGGCCAUGGCAUACAGGUCGUACACCUCUGGCACCUUAUCCGCCUUAUUGUAGCGUGCCUGAAAGAAAGAAACAAUGAAAAUUAGUAAUUAAAGGGCUCAAGCUAGCAUGAUGAAUGAAUUGCAUGAAUCAUGAAGCAAACCACAUACCCAGUUGCGCCCGAACUGAUAUAAGUUGGAGCUGCCCUGAUGGUGUGGCACACCUUCCAUUUGGGCACGUUUGUCCUUGGCCUCGUUGUGGAGGGCUAGCCAUUGUGGAGAGCACCACUCAUCGACCAACACGUCCCAACAAUCCAUCCGAUCCGCACACCAUCUUGGAGGCGCCUAAGUUAGCAAAUAGAAACUUGAGCGCUAUGGCUAAGAAUUACUAAAUGAAGGAACUUAAGUAGAGAAGGCCUUAAGAAUUACCUUCAUGUACUGCUCCUUACUCAGGAACUUACCGCGGCACGCCGGCUUGGUCUUCUUGAUACCACGCAAGGCGUAGUAGUCUCGAACAGCCUGCACCCGAGCCUCGUGCCGUAAGUUCUGGAGUAGGUGCUUGCAGACGUUCUCGAUAACAUGUGCCGUGUCCUCCUCGUAUCCCUCCUCACACCUGUAGAAUGUCUGCAAUCAAAUGAGACAAUAUUGAUUAGUACAAUUAAUAACUAGCUAGUUGAAGAUUUUUAAAUGUGUAAAGGAGAAAUUACCCAAAACUUUCUAAUCACCAUGUCUGCCCUCGUGUCGCACACGACACCGUUAAAUCUCAUCCGGCGGGGCCGGGGCAGCCACGUAGUGCUCCCAGCUCAAUCCAAGCUCUGGAAGCCGACCCUCACCAGGCAACGUGACAAACCCCGGGAAGUUUUUCCGGCAAAGAACUCCAAGGACGGAGUUGGGCCGGCGGACACUAUGAUGGUGGUCCCAACCCCUGCAGCAUGACAAGGCCAACGCAUUAGUUAUUUGAAAAAACGUGAAUGCACAAGGUACAAAAAUAUUAAAUGCACUUACGUACCUCUCCCCAUCAGGGAAAAUCAACCACCUCUGCUCGCGGGUCACCGGCACGGAUGGGAGCCGUGUAGCACCACGCUGGUAGACGGUGCCCUCCUCCUCCUCAAGAUCAGUCGGCUCCCCACCAUCAUCAGCAUGGCCACUCGGCUCCUCGGGCUGAUCCGGCCAGGUACCCCAUCCGGACGUGUGCUCCUCCGGGGUCACAUGGGCCGAACUCUCGUGGGCCGAAGGCCAGUCGACCCGACGCUCGUGGUCCCAAGACCCGUGGACCGGAGGCUCAUGGACCGGAGUCCGUGUAGCCUCCUCCUCGGACGAGUCCACCCUAGCAGUCAUGUGCUCGGGUGAAACAGCCGGGGGUGGCGGCGAGGAAGGCGCCGUAGCCCUACCUCCUCUCCCACGACCACGUGCCCCACCUCCUCUCUUCCUACCUCGAGCUCGUCCCCUGCUGGGCACCGCGGUCGACGAAGAAGGGCCCGGCGGUGUGGCCAUACUGUCCAGCAACGCUCGGCGGAGAGGUGCGUCUGGAAUGGAAGACCUCAGACCACGCUCCCGACCAGCGCCCACCAUCUUUCAACACCUGCCAUGACAAACAGUAAACGAAAUUAGUACAACAUAAAAAAAGACCGACAUGAAUAAUAAUAUGUGUAUCACUUAAGUGUAUCAUCAUCAAGUACAACAUAAAAAAAUGUAAUACCUGACACUACUAAUAAUCUCGAUCAGUAUCAUCAAUAAAUGCAUAAUCAUCAUCAUCACUAUAAUCAUUGACGGGCUCAUAGGGUUCAUUGGCAUCAACAUGUGCAAGGCCACCUUGACGUAAUCGGUCAAGCAUUGACAGGUCAUCCGCAGCAGUAACCUCUUCUUGUUCCGGCUCUUCUUGUUCCUCCUCUGGGGUGAUGUCGGAUUCAUUGUCGCUGUCUAUUUCAAUGUUUUGGGGUGAAGUAUAGCGGUUCUUGAAAUGCUUUUUGGAAAGACGUGUCUCUUGGAAGAAUUCUCCUUCAUAUGUGUCUGGGUUAAUGUGAGGUUCAUAAUCCUCUUCCUUUGGGGGAGAAAGUCUAGCACGUGGCGGCACUUCAUAAACGACAUCCCAACCUUUCAGAUUUGGAUUAGUUUGGCAGGCCCACGGUAGAUAGAAUACUUGGGUCGCCUGUUGAGCCAUAAUAUAGACAUCAGGAACAUCUAAAUGAGUGCUUUGGUUGAUUUCAACUAGCCCUACAUGUUCAUGAGUCCUUCUAGUCUCCUUCGGCUGAAACCAAUAACAUUUGAAGACUACGACAUUCGGUGGAUUUUCACCAUAGAACAGAAGUUCAUAAAUUGCUUCAACUCUCCCAUAAUACUCGGUACCUCCUUCGCCGAUAGCAGAUACACAACAAUUUGUUGACUUUCGGUCGGCCAUAGAUAGCUCUUUGCCAUAGAUACGAAAGCGAUACCCGUUGAUGUCGUACUUGUCAAAUGAACGGACCUUAUAGUCAAAACCAUUAGCGACUUGUCUCAAUUCGGCGUCCAUAGACUCUGAAUUAGCCUACAAGUUUAAUAUGAAAGGAUUGUUGCAUUAUGCACAAAUUAGCGAAUGAUAUGAAAUUGUCUAAUAGAAAUUACCGUUUGUUUGAACCAAGAGAUGAAACCGGGAUAGCCACCUCCUUGCUUUGCGAGAAGCUCAUACUCUUCGACGGAAUCCUUUUGGAUCUCCGCUCCAUACGAGAAUAUGGUGACGUAUCGACUGUAUGACAUAUCCAGGAAUAAGAGUAGUUCAAAGGAAAUAGAAGUUGCGAAACAAUGUACCGAGAACUUACUCGAUGUACGGCCGCACUUCUAUCAGGUUGUUGAAGAUAUACAAUGAAAUUGUCCGCCAUUCUUCGUUAUCCAAAGAUACUGGAUGUGAAACACUAGCUGGUGCGAGAUUCCCUUUGAAUAGGCUGAGGUUGGAUCCACCCUUUUUAGGCUCGUCAGCAUUGUACCGAGGCUUCGGAUUAUGCAAAUGACGAUUUUUGGCUUCAUAGUGCGCUGUUACGAAGUUUGCCGCCUCCUCUGUGAUGAAUGCCUCAGCCAUCGAUGCUUCAAUUCUACAUUUAUUUUUACAUUUUUCUCGAAGCGUCUUCGGCAUCCUCUCAGUUGGGUAGCACCAACGAUUUUGCACGGGCCCCCCCAAUCUUGCCUCGGUCGGGAGAUGCAAAAUCAAAUGCUGCAUUGGAUUAAAGAAGCCCGGUGGAAAGAUCUUCUCUAACUUGCAGAUCAACUCCGGCGCCAACUCUUCCAUUUCUUCUAGCACGCCAGGCGAUAGUUCUUUCGCACAAAGAACACGGAAGAAAUAGCUGAGUUCUGCCAGUACUAGCCAUUCAUCCUCAGGGAUAAAGCCACGCAACAUCACCGGCAUUACCCGCUCAAUCCAUAUGUGCCAAUCAUGACUCUUGAGACCAAAUAUCUUCAGUUUAUCAAGAUUCGCUCCCCUCUUUAGAUUCGCUGCAUACCCAUCGGGGAACAUCAAAUGCUGUUGCACCCACAAGAGAAUUUCCCUCAUAGCUGGCCUUCCAAGAUUGAACCAUGCCUUUGGCUUCGUCCAGUUCUGCUUUCCUUUCGGUUCUUUCAUGUUUUGUAACGGCCUAUCACAUAGCGCCUCCAGAUCGACUCUAGCCUUAGUAUUAUCCUUUGACUUCCCAUCUAUGCCGAACAAUGUACCAAAAAGUGCCUCGGUGAUAUUCUUCUCAGUGUGCAUCACGUCGAUGUUGUGUGGGCAAAGGAGGUCUUUGAAGUAAGGCAGAUCCCAUAAGCAUGUUUUGUGAGUCGACGCAUGCUUAGUAUUAUACCCCUUGAAGUACCCUGGACGUUGUGGAUCUGGCUCGAGAGCGUUUAACUGAUCCAGGGUCUGUUGGCCUGUCAAUGCAGGUGGUGCAGAGUUUUUGACAACUCUACCCCUGAUGAAGUUCUUUUUGUCUUUCCUGAACUUAUGGCGAGGAUUCAGGAACUGUCUAUGCAUGUCGAAGCAAGAAAACUUGCGACCGGCCUGAAGCCAACAAAACUCAAGAGCUCCCUUGCAUGUGGGGCACGGGAACCUUCCAUGCACACACCAGCCAACGAAUAGCGCAUACGCCGGCAAGUCAUGCGUCGAGUACAUGUACCAGACACGCAUUAUGAAGUUCCGUUUGCUAAAGGCGUCGUAUGUCUUGAACCCAUUAUCCCAGGCUUCUUGCAAUUCGUCCUUAAGAAGCUGCAUGUACACAUUCAUAUUUUUGCCCGGAGAGUUGGGUCCUGGAAUUAUCAACGUCAGGAAAAUGUUCUUUCUUUGCAUAAUCUGUCCGGGGGGGAGAUUGAGUGGAAAGACAAAUACGGGCCAACAACUGUAUUGGGCUGCCGUCAUACCAAACACACUGAACCCAUCCGUGCUGAUGCCGACUCGAGGAUGCCUCGGAUCUGCCGCUUUGUCAGCAUGUAAUUCAUCAAACUUUUUCCACGCAACACCAUCCGAUGUGUGUACCAUCAUCAGAUUCCCAUCUGCAUCUAGUUCAGUUCUUUUGCCUGUUUUGUGCCAUGUCAUCUGUCUGGCCGUCUCUUCGACCAUGAAAAGACGUUGAAGUAUUGGUACGAUUGGCAUAUACCGAAGAACACUAACGGGGAUUUUGGUCUGUGUCUUCUCACCCAUACCGUUGUCUACCACAAUAUACCUGGAAGACUUGCAAAUGGGACAAUAGUUCAAGUCCGCAUAGUCAAGCCUAAAUAAGGCACAUCCUUUCGCACAGGCAUGUAUCUUCUCAUAGGGCAUCUUCAGUGCAUGGAGGAUUUUGUCUGACUGGUACAGGUUUGUAGGCAUUACAUGGCCUUUGGGUAGAAAGCGUCCAAAUACUGUCAUAAUUGCGUCAUAGCAUUCUCUGCCCAAGUUGAACUGAGCCUUCAGAGCCAUUACUUGUGAGAUGGCAUCCAACUGACAAAGCUCAGUGUGCUCGUGGAGCGGACGUUUCGAAGACUCCAACAUUUAAUUGAAGGCCUUUGUAGAUUCCUCCAUCUCCUCGUCCGAAUCCCGAGCAUCAUCAUAGCCUUGCACCAUGUUUUCCAUCCCGGUAGCAUGCUCGUCGGUGCGACCACGAUCCACCUCAACUCGGUCACGUUGGGCAGACUCACCAUGAAAUGUCCACACCGUAUAAUCGGGCGUAAAACCACUCUUCUGCAGGUGUUUGCCCAUUUCAGCCUCUGUCUUCUUUUCCCAAUUCCCGCACCGGAAACAGGGGCACCAGGUUUUCUUUUGGCCAUUUGCAAAUGCGGCUUGCACAAACCCCUUAGUUUUUGUGAACCAUUCAGCGCUCCAUUUGUUCUGACCAAUGUGACCGGUAUACAUCCAAGCACGGUCACUCAUCUUGACUUUCAGAGCUACUGGACACACAACAAUUAUAUAUGUAUUUCACCAUGUAUAUAUUCAUCAGUUGAUCUACUUUGUCAAUUUUAUUACGUCCAUGCAACCUACACUCUAAUAGGUAAUGAUAGGUCCUAAUCCCACCCUUGUAUGUGUAGAUUGGGUUUAUUUUCCCAUGCUAUGCUCCGGAUCCGACGCAAAAUUUCGGCAACACCUCCCCGCUGUUCUCCUGAUACACGUCUCUGCAAUAAACAGAGAGGAUGUGUACCUGGAGAACAACAGGGGAGGCACUGACGAAAUAUAUGCAUCGGAUCCGGAGCAAAGCAUAUGGGAAAACGAACCCAAUCUACACAUACUCGGGCUGUCCAUGGAUAGCGUUGGACAAUUCGAAAGAAUCAAGGUUAUAUAUAUGCAAAUGCAUGCAUAUUUAUAACUAUGAUGCUUUCGAACGGGAGACACAUAUUGGUUACGCAUACUGAUGAUUCAAGACACAUACAUAGCUAGCUAUCAUGUUUCAUCGGAAUAGAUCAAAUAAUUAAUGGGGGAGGAGGACUUGUCAUUUGUGCUCACCCACGAACGAAGGGGCAGAGCUCGUCAAACGCACGG